AAAAUCUCAAAUAGUGGCAUUUACACAAGCAAUGGUAUGUAAUGCCCUGUACGAGAUUUGGU
rnacentral:pre_miRNA from 1 species